rnacentral:rRNA from 4 species
UAACCUUCGGGAGGGCGCUUACCACUUUGUGAUUCAUGACUGGGGUGAAGUCGUAACAAGGUAACCGUAGGGGAACCUGCGGUUGGAUCACCUCCUUACCUUAAAGAA